rnacentral:rRNA from 1 species
UCCGUAGGUGGAUCAAUCAGUCAGAUGUGAAAUCCUGCAGCUUAACUGUAGAACUGCCUUUGAUACUGUUGAUCUUGAGUCAUUAUGAAGUGGUUAGAAUGUGUAGUGUAGCGGUGAAAUGCAUAGAUAUUACACAGAAUACCGAUUGCGAAGGCAGAUCACUAAUAAUGUACUGACACUGAGGGACGAAAGCGUGGGGAGCGAACAGGAUUAGAUACCCUGGUAGUCC